rnacentral:piRNA from 1 species
UAAUGGAGGACUGACUCACACAAAAU